CGAGCGGCGGACGGGUGAGUAAUGCCUAGGAAUCUGCCUGGUAGUGGGGGAUAACGCUCGGAAACGGACGCUAAUACCGCAUACGUCCUACGGGAGAAAGCAGGGGACCUUCGGGCCUUGCGCUAUCAGAUGAGCCUAGGUCGGAUUAGCUAGUUGGUGAGGUAAUGGCUCACCAAGGCGACGAUCCGUAACUGGUCUGAGAGGAUGAUCAGUCACACUGGAACUGAGACACGGUCCAGACUCCUACGGGAGGCAGCAGUGGGGAAUAUUGGACAAUGGGCGAAAGCCUGAUCCAGCCAUGCCGCGUGUGUGAAGAAGGUCUUCGGAUUGUAAAGCACUUUAAGUUGGGAGGAAGGGCAGUUACCUAAUACGUGAUUGUUUUGACGUUACCGACAGAAUAAGCACCGGCUAACUCUGUGCCA
rnacentral:rRNA from 1 species